GUAGAGGAUGCUGAAAGUGCAGAGAGACUGAAGGAGCUACAAGAAAAAAAAGAAGGAGCCUUUUACAUAUGGGAAAGCAAAGAGGUUUUAGUAAUAGCACUUUUGCUAAAUGUGAUUAUGAAGCACCAGUUUCCAUCAUUCAGGCUUGCACAACGUGUUCCAAUAAAAAUUAGUGAGGUUCACAAACGCGAUUGAAAGUACCUACCAAGUAGGAAAAGUAUGAGAAACCUCAGCAAACUCAACGAGUUCAACAUAUAUUGAUUUGAAAGUUGAAACUGAAGCAAAAUGAUGUUUUGUAGUGGUUUUGUUUACGUCAUCAACAUUAGUUUAUGUGUUUUCAAUUGGUCUAGUUAUUUUUGACCAUGUUAGAUUUUUUAGUCAAUCUUGUAAUGUUCCUUAAACACUAUUAUGUAUUUUUCUUUUUAUAUUUUCAUUGUAAUUAUCAAUAAAUGU